rnacentral:lncRNA from 1 species
GAGAUGGGAGGUCCAACUAGGGCUGUUGGAUCUCAACCAAAAAUCUGAUUGGAGGGUCCAUAUUGAGUCAAAAACUGGAGAAAAACAACAAAGAAUUGGCUGCAGCACGGAGGCACACGACAUGUCGUACGGGAGGGAUGGUCCAAAUCGUUUGACGACGUUAGAUAAACGACUGAAAACAAACCAAGUAAGCACAACCCGUUUGACAAACACACGAAUGCUCAACCUAGUCAGCUUUUUAUGUGGGUAAUUAAUGUUGUGCCACGUCAGCACACAGUCAGGGUCUACCUCCAAUCGCAUAAUGAAAUGUCAGUACCUGUCAGAACACGUCAGUAUCCUGUCAGCAUCUCUCGUCCAUCUGAUCAUCUACGUCAGCAUGCCAUCGACACUCCAAAUCACGCCAUGUGUCCAGCUGAAAUAAUUUUUCUUUUCCAAUUUUCUUAUUUUCCAGAACUUCUAAAAUCCACCAAAAAUAGCUUCGAGCUCCGACCAAUUCCUUGAAAAUUCCAACGGCCUCAUCUCCACUUCUACUUUUUUUUGUACCUUCACUUCUCCAAAAUCUGAAAUCAAUACUUAGGUGACGAUGGGUAAACUUAAAAGAUAUUCAACUAAAAGUGCAACAAACUUCACAUACUCUAGACCUUGGCCAAUCACUCUUAUGACU